rnacentral:misc_RNA from 1 species
GAUGAAGAACGUAGCAAAAUGCGAUAAGUAAUGUGAAUUGCAGAAUUCAGUGAAUCAUCGAAUCUUUGAACGCACAUUGCGCCCGCCAGUAUUCUGGCGGGCAUGCCUGUUCGAGCGUCAUUUCAACCCUCAAGCACAGCUUGGUGUUGGGACUCGCGUUAAUUCGCGUUCCCCAAAUUGAUUGGCGGUCACAUCGAGCUUCCAUAGCGUAGUAGUAAAACCCUCGUUACUGGUAAUCGUCGCGGCCACGCCGUUAAACCCCAACUUCUGAAUGUUGACCUCGGAUCAGGUAGGAAUACCCGCUGAACUUAAGCAUAUCAAUAAGCGGAGGA